UAGGGAAUCUUCGUCAAUGGACGAAAGUCUGACCGAGCAACGCCGCGUGAGUGAAGAAGGCUUUCGGAUCGUAAAACUCUGUUGUUAGAGAAGAACAAGGACGUUAGUAACUGAACGUCCCCUGACGGUAUCUAACCAGAAAGCCACGGCUAACUACGUGCCAGCAGCCGCGGUAAUACGUAGGUGGCAAGCGUUGUCCGGAUUUAUUGGGCGUAAAGCGAGCGCAGGCGGUUUCUUAAGUCUGAUGUGAAAGCCCCCGGCUCAACCGGGGAGGGUCAUUGGAAACUGGGAGACUUGAGUGCAGAAGAGGAGAGUGGAAUUCCAUGUGUAGCGGUGAAAUGCGUAGAUAUAUGGAGGAACACCAGUGGCGAAGGCGGCUCUCUGGUCUGUAACUGACGCUGAGGCUCGAAAGCGUGGGGAGCAAACAGG
rnacentral:rRNA from 1 species